CCACGACAACAAGACGAUAUAGAGGGACAGUAUCAGACACAGCAAAGUGAACGCUACUGCACUGCCCUUAGCCAGGUAUGAGCCGACAAGCUGAGAAGAGGAAGUAGUGAACAGUGGCCGCUGAGACGAGAUGCAGUACCCUAACAGCAGGCUAGAACCAAUCAGCAAGCAGAGGAGGAGCGACUCACCCCGCUGACCAGCAGCCUGGUGUUGACCACUGAAGAGAACCAACGAUGAAUCCUGGCGUGGUGCAGGUUCUGCUGCUCAGUGAGCCUCGUCUGUGGGCGCUCUUUGAAGAACACCUGGUACAGACCCUCUUGGAACAUGUUCUCACUCAUCUGCUAUGCAGACCAGAAACGUCAAGACCAUGUCUGCAGCAUGUUCAGGUCAGCCGCAGCCACUCACGGUUUGCAAUCCGAAAGUAACUUAAAAGAUUUUCAUUCUGCUGAAUGCAUACCUUCAAUAAGAAAUGUG